rnacentral:rRNA from 1 species
GUGAGGAAUAUUGCGCAAUGGAGGCAACUCUGACGCAGCCAUGCCGCGUGAAGGAAGAAUGCCUUAUGGGUUGUAAACUUCUUUUAUACGAGAAUAAACCCCCCUACGUGUAGGGGGCUGAAGGUAUCGUACGAAUAAGGACCGGCUAACUCCGUGCCAGCAGCCGCGGUAAUACGGAGGGUCCAAGCGUUAUCCGGAUUCAUUGGGUUUAAAGGGUGCGUAGGCGGCUUAAUAAGUCAGUGGUGAAAGACUGUGGCUCAACCAUAGAAUUGCCAUUGAAACUGUUAGGCUUGAAUCUAGUUGAAGUGGGCGGAAUACAUCAUGUAGCGGUGAAAUGCAUAGAUAUGAUGUGGAACGCCGAUUGCGAAGGCAGCUCACUAAGUUAGUAUUGACGCUGAGGCACGAAAGCGUGGGUAGCGAACAGG